GACAGAGGAGGCAAGCGUUAUCCGGAAUUAUUAGGCGUAAAGCGUCCGUAGGUGGUUUGGCAAGUCUGGGGUUAAAGCCCGGAGCCUAACUCCGGAUCGGCCCUGGAAACUGCCAGACUAGAGUAAGGAAGGGGUUGCGGGAAUUCCCGGAGUAGCGGUGAAAUGCGUAGAUAUCGGGAAGAACACCAGUGGCGAAAGCGCGCAACUGGGCCAUUACUGACACUGAGGGAUGAAAGCUAGGGGAGCAAAUGGG
rnacentral:rRNA from 1 species